CCAUGCCCGGCUUAUUUUUUUGUAUUUUUAGUAGAGAAAGGGUUUUGCCAUGUUGGCCAGGCUGGUCUUGAACUCCUGGCCUCAAGUGAUCUGUCCGCCUCAGCCUCCCAAAGUGCUGGGAUUACAGGCGUGAGCCACGUGCCUGGCGUCAAGUUUCUAAUUGGAUGUCUGAAUUAGAUUCAAGUCAGGAUCAUUGCCAUUAGUUGAUAGAUCUCUUAAGUCUAUUUAACAUAAAGUUCUCCAUGGUUCUCUUUCUUUUUUCUUGUAAUUUACUUGUUGAAGACACUGGGUCAUUUGUCUGUAGAGUCUCUCACAGUGUGGAUUUUGUAGAUUGCAUUCUUGUGGUAUCAUUUAACAUGUUCCUCUGUGCUUUAAUUUGUUGCUCGGCUUUUAUUGGAGUAUGGCUGAUUGACAGUAAACUGCAUCUAUUUAGAAUGUACAGUUUUAUAAACUUUCACAGAUGUAUACAUCCACGAAACCAUUACCACAAUUGAGAUAGUGAACAUAGCCUUUGUCCCAACGGUGUCCUCUUGACUGUCAUCACUCCCCCAUGGAUGCCACCCUCCCAUAAGAAAGCACUGUUCUCAUUUGUGUUACUAUAAUUUAGUUUGCAUUUCUUAGUGUUUUAGCUAGAAUCAUAGAAUAUGUACUUUUUUGUCUGGCUUCUUUCACUCAGCAUAAUUAUUUUGAGAUUAUGUUGUUGUUUGCAUAAAUAUUUCAUUCCUGUUUAUUGCUAAAUAAUAUUCAAUUGAAUGGCUAUAUCAUGAUUUGUUGUUAGCCAUUUGAAUUUUUUCCAGUUUUUGGCUUUUACAAACAAAGCUGCUCUGAACAUUUGGGUACAAGUUUUUACAUGGAUAUAUAUUUCCUUUUCUCUUGGGAAUUUCCUAAGAGUGGAACGGCUGGAUCAUAUUGUAAGCAUGUGUUUAACUGCACCCACCAUGAGAGUGCCAUUUCCUCUACAUUCUCACCAAUACUUGUUAUGGUCAGUCUUUUUCACUGAAACCAUUCUAUUAGGUUGGUACAAAAGUAAUUGCAGUUUUGCUCUCAAAAGUAAUGGCAAAAACCCCAAUUACUUUUGCACACACCUAAUAAUAUGUGAGUAGUGUGUGUGUGUGUGUGAAUUCUAGCUCCUUUGCUAGAAUUUUAAAAUUAGCUUGCUAAUUUGUACAAAAAAAUGCUCCCUGAUAUUUUUAUUAAGAUUGUGUUGCAUAUAGGGAUCAAACCAGGAGAAUUGCCAUGUUAAAUAUUGACUAUUCUGGCCGAGCGCGGUGGCUCACGCCGGUAAUCCCAGCACUUUGGGAGGCCGAGGCAGGUGGAUCACCUGAGGUCAGGAGUUCGAGACCAGCCUGCAAAACCCUGUCUCUACUGAAAAUACAAAAUAUUAGCCAGACGUGGUGGCGGGUGCCUGUAAUCCCAGCUCUUCGGGAGGCUGAGGCAGGAGAAUCGCUUGACCCCAGGAGGCGGAGGUUGCAGUGAGUCAAGAUCGUGCCACUGGGCAACAAGGGUGAAACUCCAUCUCAAAAAAAAAAAAAAAAAAAAAAAGGACUAUUCUGACCCAAUAACCAGGUAUAUCUUUCUACUUGUUUGUCUUUGAGAGCUUCUUUCAGCAAGGUUUCAUAGUUUAGAGUGUACUAGUCUUCUGCAUCUUUUGUCAAAUGUCUGUUUCACAUUUUUAAUGUUUUAUAAAUGAUAUUUUAAAAAGUUGUAAUUUCUGAUUGUUUCUGACAUACAAAAAUAUAAUCUGCCCUGGUCUACACAUCUUGUAUCCUGCAAUCUUGCCCAAAGUCAUUUAUUCGUACUAGUAGCUUUUUUUUUUGCAUUUCUUUGGAUUUUCUACAUAGACA
rnacentral:lncRNA from 1 species